rnacentral:misc_RNA from 1 species
CCGAGUUUCCAACUCCAUACCUUUGUGAACAUACCAUCGUUGCUUCGGCGGGUUCGUCCCGGGGCUCGCAGUGCACGGCCUGCCCCGGAACCAGACGUCCGCCGAGGACCCCAAACUCUUGUUUCUAUAGUGGAUCUUCUGAGUCUUUAUACAAAUAAAUCA